AGUCCCUGAGUACACAGGACUUCACCAUGGGACGGAGCUAUAUCAUCUUCUUCCUGGUAGCAACAGCUAUAGCUGUCCACUCCCAGGUCCAGCUGCAGCAAUCUGGGGCUGAACUGGUGAAGCCUGGGGCCUCUGUGAAGAUUUCCUAUAAAUCUUCUGGUUAUACAUUUACUGACUACUACAUGCACUGGGUUAAGCAGAGUCAUGGAAAGAGCUUUGAGUGGAUUGGAAAUAUUAAUCCUAACUCUGGUAGUACUAACUACAAUGAAAAGUUCAAGGGCAAGGCCACAUUGACUGUAGACAAAUCUUCCAGCACAGCCUAUAUGGUGUUUAGAAAACUGACAUCUGAGGACUCUGUGGUCUAUUUCUGUGCAAGACACAGUAUUGAAGCCACAUCCUGA